CUUAUUAAUUUUGAUAAUAUGUUAGAUGAAACGUAAUAUUUUCUUUUCUUUUAAAAUGGAUAUUAACGAUCUAUGUUUCAAUGUAGACAACGGUGACAACGAUACGAAUAACUGAGUCCACGCGUUAUUUCCAUGGAAACAAGGCGCAUUUUCGACUAGAUACGACGGUGGAUAUCCGUGGGGCUGCCACUUGCAUUCACCAAUGUACUUAUAAAUAAACGGCAAUAGAGUGUGGCUUGCUUAUCAGUGACUACUGUAACCCUAUGAUGACGGCACGUCUAAAAUACUCUAACAUGUUUCAAAUAAUUUGGAUCUGUGAAACCUUGAUCUUUACUGGCCUUCGCUCUGUAAUGAUCUGCAUAUAAUUCGGUAACAAUUGAACGUGUGCAUGAAUAAGUUAAGAGAAGGGCGUUCAUCUAUGAUUGUCAAGAUCGAAAGAAAAUUAAAAGCGAACAAUCUUCGGAAUAUGUAGCUGCAGUAUUUCUUUAUGCAUAUAAUGAUUUCCUCUGACACGUUGAGCGGCACGAAGGUCAUUGGUGACAUACGAUACCAUAUAACAUCAGAAAAAAUGUGCAAAUAGAAUAUAAUAUUUUGGAAAAAUUAAGUGUUGUGGUAUAGUUUAUAAAUAAUAAACAUAUCUAUAUAUAAUAAAAUUAUAUAUUAUAAAGAAUACAUAAAUUCUCGUAGCAAUCAACGUGUUAAACUAUCUUUAUCGAUAAUUUUGCAAGCAAAUAAUUUCAAUGCUAUAUGGAAAUUAUACACAUGAUAACAUUUAUUUUUGCAACAAGGUUAACAUGAAAUUUCUAUGAGGAAUUGUACGAAUCUUGUUCUACAGCAAUAUUUAAUAAAUGAACUGUUUUAUAGUUAUAACGAUAUGUACAACACCAUAUUUUUAUCAGAUUUAUUCUAACACAUUUCUUAUCGUGAAAAUUAAAUCGUUCGAUUGCAUCGUCUUAUGAAUAUAUGUAUUCAUGUACUAUCAAGUUACAGCAAUUUAUCUUAGACACCGAUUGCUUUAUCGCAUUCUUAUCAUACAUCUUACUGGUUUGUACGAAAACGAUCCUCCUUUUUUGGAUUUCUCUAUUACUAAGAAAGAAGAUAAAAAAUUUAGCCGUGAGAAAGAUUCGGAGAUAAAAAAAUGAAAACGUGAAAAAGAUAAGGCUUUCUCAAAACGAUCUUGUAUCUCUUAUCUUGCUUAAGGGAUUCUUCUAAAAUUCUAUCUUUUAAAAACUAAGAAAAAUCAAGCAAUAAUAAAAAGUUGUGAAAGUAAAAGAA